rnacentral:misc_RNA from 1 species
UCGUAACAAGGUUUCCGUAGGUGAACCUGCGGAAGGAUCAUUACAGUAGUCACCCGGGUUGCCGCAAGGCCUCUCGGGUAACCUACCACCCUUUGUUUAUUACACUUUGUUGCUUUGGCAGGCCUGCCUUCGGGCUGCUGGCUCCGGCCGGCGAGCGCUUGCCAGAGGAUCUAAACUCUGUUUGUCUAUACUGUCUGAGUACUAUAUAAUAGUUAAAACUUUCAACAACGGAUCUCUUGGUUCUGGCAUCGAUGAAGAACGCAGCGAAAUGCGAUAAGUAAUGUGAAUUGCAGAAUUCAGUGAAUCAUCGAAUCUUUGAACGCACAUUGCGCCCCCUGGUAUUCCGGGGGGCAUGCCUGUCCGAGCGUCAUUACAACCCUCAAGCUCUGCUUGGUGUUGGGCCCCGCCGCCCCGGCGGGCCCUAAAGUCAGUGGCGGUGCCAUCCGGCUCCGAGCGUAGUAAUUCUUCUCGCUCUGGAGGUCCGGUUGUGUGCUUGCCAUCAACCCCCAAUUUUUUUCAGGUUGACCUCGGAUCAGGUAGGGAUACCCGCUGAACUUAAGCAUAUCA